rnacentral:rRNA from 1 species
CCUACGGGCGGCAGCAGUGAGGCAUAUUGGUCAAUGGACGAGAGUCUGAACCAGCCAAGUAGCGUGAAGGAUGACUGCCCUAUGGGUUGUAAACUUCUUUUAUAAAGGAAUAAAACAAGGCACGUGUGCCUUUUUGCAUGUCCUUUAUGCAUACGGAUCGGCUAACUCCGUGCCAGCAGCCGCGGUAAUACGGAGGAUCCGAGCGUUAGCCGGAUUUAUUGGGUUUAAAGGGAGCGUAGGUGGGUUGUUAAGUCAGUUGUGAAAGUUUGCGGCUCAACCGUAAAAGUGCAAUUGAUACUGGCAGUCUUGAGUACAGUUGAGGUAGGUGGAAGUCGUGGUGUAGCGGUGAAAUGCUUAGAGAUCACGAAGAACCCCGAUUGCGAAGGCAGCUUACUAAACUGUGACUGACAUUGAUGCGCGAAAGUGUGGGUAGCAAACAGGAUUAGAUACCCCAGUAGUC